rnacentral:tRNA from 1 species
GCGCUCCUAGCUCAGCUGGAUAGAGCAACAGCCUUCUAAGCUGUGGGUCAGAGGUUCGAAUCCUCUGGAGCGCGCCA